GACGAACGCUGGCGGCGUGCUUAACACAUGCAAGUCGAACGCUGAAGCCCUUUCGGGGGUGGAUGAGUGGCGAACGGGUGAGUAACACGUGGGUAAUCUGCCCUGCACUCUGGGAUAAGCCUUGGAAACGGGGUCUAAUACCGGAUAGGACACAUCGCCGCAUGGUGUGUGUGUGGAAAGUUCCGGCGGUGCAGGUUGAGCCCGCGGCCUAUCAGCUUGUUGGUGGGGUGAUGGCCUACCAAGGCGACGACGGGUAGCCGGCCUGAGAGGGUGACCGGCCACACUGGGACUGAGACACGGCCCAGACGCCUACGGGAGGCAGCAGGGGGGAAUCUUGCGCAAUGGGCGAAAGCCUGACGCAGCAACGCCGCGUGGGGGAUGACGGCCUUCGGGUUGUAAACCUCUUUCGACCGGGACGAAGGGUGACUGACGGUACCGGUAGAAGAAGCACCGGCUAACUACGUGCCAGCAGCCGCCGCCG
rnacentral:rRNA from 1 species